UAUCUGCCGUGGGCGCUGGAGAAUUGAGGGGGGCUGCUCCUAGUACGAGAGGACCGGAGUGGACGCAUCACUGGUGUUCGGGUUGUCAUGCCAAUGGCAUGCCCGGUAGCUAAAUGCGGAAGAGAUAAGUGCUGAAAGCAUCUAAGCACGAAACUUGCCCCGAGAUGAGUUCUCCCUGAGACUAUAAGUCUCCUGAAGGAACGUUAAAGACGAUGACGUUGAUAGGCCGGGUGUGUAAGCGCAGCGAUGCGUUGAGCUAACCGGUACUAAUGAACCGUGAGGCUUAACCUUACAACGCCGAAG
rnacentral:rRNA from 1 species